AUUUUUUCAGGAGAAUAAGGGAACCUCUAAGCCCAGGUACGAUUGUGUGGUACCUGGAUGCGGUGCCACAAGCUUGGUCCGCAUCGACAUGCAUCUGCAUAGACGUCAUGGAUUUACUACUGGCAGCGCUGAAUACAAAAAAUUCAGACAGCUGCAGACACAGAUGCAGCAAGAAAAAUGAUGUGCAAUGACUAAAAUGCAUGACACUCAUGCAGCCUCAACCAUAAGGCAUUACCUCAACUCAUUUGUUAAAUUCAUAAACUACGUAAGUGUGUAUGGACAGAACGUGAAGGUGUCGGCCGGCAUCCUUAUCAAAUGCAAAGAUGCGGCACAAGGGCUGGUAAGGUCGCUGCGGCGAAGAGCUCAAGCAGAACAUGUCAAGAAACAAAAGGAGAUUGCAGGUAAC